rnacentral:rRNA from 1 species
UAGGGAAUCUUCCACAAUGGACGCAAGUCUGAUGGAGCAACGCCGCGUGAGUGAAGAAGGUUUUCGGAUCGUAAAGCUCUGUUGUUGGUGAAGAAGGAUAGGGGCAGUAACUGGUCUUUAUUUGACGGUAAUCAACCAGAAAGUCACGGCUAACUACGUGCCAGCAGCCGCGGUAAUACGUAGGUGGCAAGCGUUGUCCGGAUUUAUUGGGCGUAAAGCGAGCGCAGGCGGAAUGAUAAGUCUGAUGUGAAAGCCCACGGCUCAACCGUGGAACUGCAUCGGAAACUGUCAUUCUUGAGUGCAGAAGAGGAGAGUGGAACUCCAUGUGUAGCGGUGGAAUGCGUAGAUAUAUGGAAGAACACCAGUGGCGAAGGCGGCUCUCUGGUCUGCAACUGACGCUGAGGCUCGAAAGCAUGGGUAGCGAACAGGAUUAGAUACCCUGGUAGUCC